rnacentral:rRNA from 1 species
AACGAACGCUGGCGGCAGGCCUAACACAUGCAAGUCGAGCGGACCCUUCGGGGUUAGCGGCGGACGGGUGAGUAACGCGUGGGAACGUGCCCUUUGCUUCGGAAUAGCCCUGGGAAACUGGGAGUAAUACCGGAUACGCCCUUUUGGGGAAAGAUUUAUCGGCGAAGGAUCGGCCCGCGUUGGAUUAGGUAGUUGGUGGGGUAAUGGCCUACCAAGCCGACGAUCCAUAGCUGGUUUGAGAGGAUGAUCAGCCACACUGGGACUGAGACCCGGCCCAGACUCCUACGGGAGGCAGCAGUGGGGAAUCUUAGACAAUGGGGGAAACCCUGAUCUAGCCAUGCCGCGUGAGCGAUGAAGGCCUUAGGGUUGUAAAGCUCUUUCACCGGGGAAGAUAAUGACGGUACCCGGAGAAGAAGCCCCGGCUAACUCCGUG